rnacentral:lncRNA from 1 species
CCUGGUGUUGCUGGAUGAGAGUCAAAUGGCAAUGUGUGUACCUAGGGUGCGCAGAGACCCCGGAGCGGGUCUGGGCCGCGUCUUGUUCUGCGACUGUUAUGUAUGGUUUCUAUCUUAGUAGAUUGUCAGUCAGCCAAAACCUGGUGCCGGUUCUGUCUGGGUUUGAGGACCAAUCUGUUCGGUGUAUGUAACUAGAAAAUUUAUGAUGGUAUGAAGAUGAGGCAAACUCUUUGCCUGUCUGUCUGUCUGUCUGUCUGUCUCAUGAUGAUGUCUAUGAGAGGGAGGGAUGUGGUGGUGCUCAGGAAAUAGGUUUUGCUUGGCCCAUUUUGGUUGUUUCCGGUGUUGGUGUGAUGUAGCACAGAAAUGGCAAUGUAUGCCAACAUUUCUCUGCUCAGGAAAUAGGUUUUGCUUGGCCCAUUUUGGAGCAUACACGUUUGCACCUUUGCGGUGUUGGUAUGAUGAUAUAUGUAGCAUAGAAAUGGCAAUGUGUAUGAGAACAUUACCAUUAUGAUGAUGAUGAUCUAGAGGGGGGCGUACAGUGAAGCUCGGCCGGCAGAUAGAGCUGGUUCAGGAAAGGCCAAUUGGGGAAGGCGUCAGACCUGACGCCUGACUGGUGACGGCGGUUCAGCCCAUGUGGAUACGGAUCGACAUAGUGGUAUAUCCAGACGAAGAAACGGUCUCCUACUUUUUUUAUUAUGUCGGUGGUUUUCUCUAUCUCUAUACUAAUUAUAGGUAUAUUAUUAUACUAUACUUGCU